rnacentral:lncRNA from 1 species
CCCAUUCGAACCCGGAAGCCUCCGGCUCGCUCCCGGGGCUGUUCGUUUGGCGGAGGGCGAGAACGGCAGCGCGAGCGCUCUGUGCAUGUCCAGAGGCGCUCUUGACGCUUUUCUUUCACAGGUCCCGGCGCUUGUUUGAAACCUGGCCCGGAUCCAGAUAAGGUGGGAGGAGGGGAGAGAGGGAGGGAGAAAGAGAGAGAGAGAGCGAGAGAGAGAGGACCGGCUGGCUGCGGUUUCUGGCCGCCUCCGUGGGAGGGGCGAGGGAUUCCCCCCUCCCCUCCCCUCCGCUCGUUCCCACGGCUGCAUCCAGCCUGCGCCAUCCGGAGCUGGUCGCGGUACUAGGUAGGUAGGGUGGCGGGGUGAGGGACGCGCGCCCACCUGGAGGACAGGUGGCGGGGUGGGGUCUCUGCGGCAGGACGAGGCAGACCCCCCCUCCUCAGCUGCUAGGGGAAAAGCGAUCUGCCCACCCCCUUUCUCCCCCCCCCCACCGCCUCUAAAAACCUCCUCUUGACACUCUCUCUCUCCAACAAACGAGGCGUUUUUACGCUUGGAGCCGGGAGGGGAGGGGUGAAUGGAGCUGUGGGGAGAGGGAGAGGGGAGGAGGCGAUUCCGCGGCGGUGUGUACAGAAGCUGAUUGGGCCCCUCUUGCUCCCCCCCAUCGUUCUCUCACCAGCACCCCCUCCAGCAGCGAUCGGCUGCCCCCUCCCCAAAUUCUCCUUUGUGUCUGGCUCUUAGAAUUUCACCAGCCAGGCUGGCUCCCUCCAGUCCUUGCAUCAGGCAGAGUUGAAGGACCAGACCGAGCUGCGGAAAACAAGGAUGACACAGCCUGGGCGGGUGGCGGGGGCGACCCCCGAAAGCUGGCGGGCUCUCCCCUGCCUUCUGCUCCGCUGCAGCCCUCUGGUCUAAAGCAAGCAGCCUCUUGACCUGGGUCGGCAGCUCUCGCCUGUCGCCACCGCAGGCCUCUGCCCUCCAAACCCUGUCCUACUAGCCUGUUGUUGUGGCCGAGAGGGUGAGGACUCUGCCACAGCCUGGCCGGAGGUUGGAUCUGGCCCCAUUCCCUGCAGAAAGCUUUGCCCUCCAAGGCCACAGGAUCCUACGCAAAGGGUCAGUCUUCUGUCUCCAUUUCUGCAGUGGGGAAGCUGAGCUGUGGAAGACCAGGUCAGACUGUGGGAAGCGUUGAGGAAAUCUCAGGGGAUGGAAGCGGGCUGGGCCACCUAAAAACAAGACCAGGAAGGGAAAACAGGAGGAGAGUCUGCUGAGAAGUCUUGGAGGCCUUGAAGGAAAAGAUUGGAGCUCUUCAUUCCAAGAGAAGGAGGUCUUCAGUCACCAGACUGAAGGCACACAAGGUGAAUAUUAAGAUCUUCAGUGCCCCUGACUGGAGGCGAAGCUUAGAGGCCUUCGCUCCGCCUGACCGAAAGCACACAGAGAAUUCACUGGCUUCCCCAAUAAUUUGGGAGACGUGCAUUCAUUGAUAGCAGCCUCUAUCACCAUCCUCAGUGGUGGCCUGAACAUCUCAGCUGGUCUGCUGUUGUUGCCAUUUGGGGAGAUUGAAACAUUGCUCCUCAUCGCCACAUAGUCAGACGUGCCGCAAAAACCAAUAGUUUUCCGAUGAGACUGGCUCGCCCUGAAGAAAAGGUCACAAGCUCUCAUCCUGCAAGGAGUGCGUCUCUUUCUCUGCGUUCCUCAAGCCCCAGGUGACCUGGCUGUGGUAGGAGAUGCAGCCUUCAGAACUGGGGAUCGCACUCUGAGCCCCGCAGGUGCUCCCAAACCAAUGAGGGGGAGGGCGCCCAGCUGGUGACCCCCGCCUGCCUCUCAUGCCA